AGAGUUUGAUCAUGGCUCAGGAUGAACGCUAGCUACAGGCUUAACACAUGCAAGUCGAGGGGAAACGACAUCGAAAGCUUGCUUUUGAUGGGCGUCGACCGGCGCACGGGUGAGUAACGCGUAUCCAACCUGCCCACCACUUGGGGAUAACCUUGCGAAAGUAAGACUAAUACCCAAUGAUAUCUCUAGAAGACAUCUGAAAGAGAUUAAAGAUUUAUCGGUGAUGGAUGGGGAUGCGUCUGAUUAGCUUGUUGGCGGGUAACGGCCACCAAGGCUACGAUCAGUAGGGUCUGAGAGGAAGGUCCCCCANACUUGGAACUGAGACACGGUCCAAACUCCUACGGGAGGCA
rnacentral:rRNA from 1 species